rnacentral:rRNA from 1 species
GGACUACUCGGGUAUCUAAUCCUGUUUGCUCCCCACGCUUUCGCGCCUCAGCGUCAAUCACAGUCCAGAUAGCCGCCUUCGCCACCGGUGUUCUUCCCAAUAUCUACGAAUUUCACCUCUACACUGGGAAUUCCGCUAUCCUCUCCUGCAUUCAAGCCAAUCAGUAUCAAAUGCAGUCCCCAGGUUAAGCCCAGGACUUUCACAUCUGACUUGAUCGGCCGCCUACGCGCCCUUUACGCCCAGUAAUUCCGAACAACGCUCGCCCCCUUCGUAUUACCGCGGCUGCUGGCAC